ensembl:lncRNA C5orf64 chromosome 5 putative open reading frame 64
AGAAGUGCUUGAGAUACAUCAUAACAGUGUCAGUGCAGUGUUUAUGGGGGAAAUUGUCGCUGUCUCUCGCUUGUGGAAGGUGACAUAAUGGGAUUUCUUCCCUUUGUCCUGGUGACAGGAUGAUGAGCACUGUCUGGGCUCCAGUUCGGCGGGCUUUGCCAUUCAGGCAUCCGGCGCAGCUGACAAGCCCGAGGAUCGAUGGAGAAGGCAGAACAAACAUGCAUUACUCCAAAUUGCCCCGCACUGCGAUAGAGACAGAGUUCAAGCAGAAUGUUGGCCCACCACCCAAGGAUCUGACCGCUGAAGUUUACUUCCCUUCAAUCAAAUCGAGAUCACAUCUUCCUGCAGUUUUCUAUAAUCAGUAUUUCAAGCAUCCAAAAUGUGUAGGAGAAUAUGGACCCAAGAACGGAGCAGAGAGACAAAUAGAGGAACGGAAAGUUUUGCCUACAACCAUGAUGUUCUCAAUGUUAGCUGACUGUGUUCUAAAAUCCACUCCAAUUCCCAUUUUGGGAGUUGCUAUGUGAUGAAGGUCUGCCCCUGUGGUGUUGGGACAACUUGCUCAUGGAGUUGCAGUUCUUGCCUAACAGGAACCCACCAUGAGCUGCCUCCUGCCCCUGAGGGGAGGAGUCCAUCCUCUUCUAUAGGAUACACCUGUUGGCUUGUUUGUCCUUCCUUCCCCUUUCUGGGAAUUGUUCUCCAUCAACAUGUUUAUGGGGACAGCCAUUUCUAUACAAUGUGACCUGUAUUGAUCUAUUUUGUGUUGCUAUAAAUAAAUACCUGAGGCUGGUAAUUUUUAAAGAAGAGAGGUUAAUUUGGCCCAUAAUUCUGCAGGCUGUACAAGAAGCAUGGCACCAGCAUCUGCUUCUGGUGAGGCCGCAGGAAGCUUCCACUCAUGGUGGAAGGUGGAGGAGGAGCAGGCGUGUUAUAUGGCAAGAGCGAGAGCAAGAGAGAGAGCAGAAGGUGUCAGGCAACCAGCUCUCAUGUGAACUAAUGAGCAAGGACUCACUCAUCACCAAGGGGAUGGCCCCAGCCAUUCCUGAGAGAUCCGCCCCCUAACCCAAACACCUCCCACCAAGCCCCACCUCCAAGACUGGCGGUCAAAUUUUAACAUGAGACCUUCAUUAUCAAUGUUUGUGUAUCUACACAUCCAAAGUAGAUCAUCAUCUUUGGUCUUUGGGAGAUACACCAGAGAAAAACAACUCCUCUGGCCUGGGAGAUUUUGACUUUCUGCUUUUCAUGUGUGUUUGCUUUUAUCGAAGAGGGAAUCUGCUACUUGCCUGAUGCAACUGCAUUUGGAUACUGAACUGGGGCCCAAAGAGUCUCAAAUCACUGCCUGGGAAUGCCAAUUUCUCAUCAUGAAUUAGAAAUCAAUUCUAGCAGCCUCCCUGCUAAGUAAAAAAAUUACAUAAUUCUUUCUGCACUACUGCAUUAGGCUGAUUUUUUUUUUCCUUUUCCUGAAUGUACAGUAAA